GGGAGGGUCCUGAAAGGUCACAGAGCCAUAGAAGGGGCUGGGAGAGCCCUUGAAGGUCAUAGAGGUAGAGAAGGGGUUGAGAGGGUCCUUGAAGGACACAGAGGUAGAGAAGGGGUUGAGAGGGUCCUUGAAGGACACAGAGGUAGAGAAGAGUUGGGUUGGGAGGGUCCUGAAAGGUCACAGAGCCAUAGAAGGGGCUGGGAGAGCCCUUGAAGGUCAUAGAGGUAGAGAAGGGGUUGAGAGGGUCCUUGAAGGACACAGAGGUAGAGAAGGGGUUGAGAGGGUCCUUGAAGGACACAGAGGCAUGGAAAACUUGGGUUGGGAGGGUCCUGAAAGGUCACAGAGCCAUAGAAUGGGUUGAGAGGGUCCUUGAAGGACACAGAGGUAGAGAAGGGGCUGAGAGGGUCCUUGAAGGACACAGAGGUAGAGAAGGGGUUGCGAGGGUCCUUGAAGGACACAGAGGCAUGGAAGAGUUGGGUUGGGAGGGUCUUGAAAGUUCACAGAGCCAUAGAAUGGCUUGAGAGGGUCCUUGAAGGACACAGAGGUAGAGAAGGGGUUGAGAGGGUCCUUGAAGGACACAGAGGUAGAGAAGGGGUUGCGAGGGUCCUUGAAGGACAGAGAGGCAUGGAAGAGUUGGGUUGGGAGGGUCCUGAAAGGUCACAGAGCCAUAGAAGGGGCUGGGAGAGCCCUUGAAGGUCAUAGAGGUUGAGAAGGGGUUGAGAGGGUCCUUGAAGGACAGAGAGGCAUGGAAGAGUUGGGUUGGGAGGGUCCUGAAAGGUCACAGAGCCAUAGAAGGGGCUGGGAGAGCCCUUGAAGGUCAUAGAGGUAGAGAAGGGGUUGAGAGGGUCCUUGAAGGACACAGAGGCAUGGAAGAGUUGGGUUGGGAGGGUCCUGAAAGUUCACAGAGCCAUAGAAGGGGUUGAGAGAGUCCUUGAAGGACACAGAGGUAGAGAAGAGGUUGAGAGGGUCCUUGAAGGACACAGAGGUAGAGAAGGGGUUGAGAGGGUCCUUGAAGGACACAGAGGUAGAGAAGGGGUUGAGAGGGUCCUUGAAGGACACAGAGGUAGAGAAGGGGUUGAGAGGGUCCUUGAAGAACACAGAGGCAUGGAAGAGUUGGGUUGGGAGGGUCCUGAAAGUUCACAGAGCCAUAGAAGGGGUUGAGAGGGUCCUUGAAGGACACAGAGGUAGAGACGAGGUUGAGAGGGUCCUUGAAGGUCAUAGAGGUAGAGAAGGGGUUGAGAGGGUCCUUGAAGGACAGAGAGGCAUGGAAGAGUUGGGUUGGGAGGGUCCUGAAUGUUCACAGAGCCAUAGAAGGGGUUGGGAGAGCACUUGAAGGUCAUAGAGGUAGAGAAGGGGUUGCGAGGGUCCUUGAAGGACACAGAGGCAUGGAAGAGUUGGGUUGGGAGGGUCCUGAAAGGUCACAGAGCCAUAGAAGGGGCUGGGAGAGCCCUUGAAGGUCAUAGAGGUAGAGAAGGGGUUGAGAGGGUCCUUGAAGGACACAGAGGCAUGGAAGAGUUGGGUUGGGAGGGUCCUGAAAGUACACAGAGCCAUAGAAUGGGCUGGGAGACCCCUUGAAGGUCACAGAGGUAGAGAAGGGGUUGUGAGGGUCCUUGAACGACACAGAGGUAGAGAAGCGGUUGAGAAGGUCCUUGAACGACACAGAGGCAUGGAAGAGUUGGGUUGGGAGGGUCCUGAAAGUUCACAGAGCCACAGAAUGGGUUGAGAGGGUCCUUGAAGGACACAGAGGCAUGGAAGAGUUGGGUUGGGAGGGUCCUGAAAGUACACAGAGCCAUAGAAGGGGUUGGGAGAGCCCUUGAAGGUCAUAGAGGUAGAGAAGGGGUUGCGAGGGUCCUUGAACGACACAAAGGCAUGGAAGAGUUGGGUUGGGAGGGUCCUGAAUGUUCACAGAGCCAUAGAAGGGGUUGGGAGAGCACUUGAAGGUCAUAGAGGUAGAGAAGGGGUUGCGAGGGUCCUUGAAGGACACAGAGGCAUGGAAGAGUUGGGUUGGGAGGGUCCUGAAAGGUCACAGAGCCAUAGAAGGGGCUGGGAGAGCCCUUGAAGGUCAUAGAGGUAGAGAAGGGGUUGAGAGGGUCCUUGAAGGACACAGAGGCAUGGAAGAGUUGGGUUGGGAGGGUCCUGAAAGUACACAGAGCCAUAGAAUGGGCUGGGAGACCCCUUGAAGGUCACAGAGGUAGAGACGAGGUUGAGAGGGUCCUUGAAGGUCAUAGAGGUAGAGAAGGGGUUGCGAGGGUCCUUGAAGGACACAGAGCAAUAAAAAAGGCAGUGCUAGAAGGGUCGCUGAAGAUCAAACAAGCAUGGAAUUAGAGUAUGACUUGGGUUGGAAGGGUCCUUAAAGAUGACAAAGCCAUAGAAUGAGUUGGGUUGGGAAGGUCCUUAAAGGUCACAGAAUCAUGGAGUGACUGGGUUGGAAGGGUCAUUAAAGAUCAAAAAAGCAUGGAGUUACAGCAUGACCUGGGUUGGAAGCAUCCUUGCAGAUCAGAGACCCACAGGAUGGGUUGGGUUGGGUUGGAAAGAAUCCCUCAGCCCAAUCCCUGCCGUGGGGUGGCUGCCCCCCGGCUCAGGCUGCCCAGGACCCCACCCCACAGCCUCCAGGGUUGGGGCACCCACAGCUCCGGGCAGCAGUGCUGGGGCUGCACCACCUCUGGGUGAA